CUGAUAUGGCGCACGGGUGCGUAACACGUAACUAACCUACCUAUACCUGGGGGAUAGCCCGCCGAAAGGCGGAUUAAUACCGCAUAAGGCUUUUACCCGGCAUCGGGUGCUAGUUAAAGAUUUAUUGGGUAUAGAUGGGGUUGCGGGUCAUUAGCUAGUUGGUAAGGUAACGGCUUACCAAGGCGACGAUGACUAGGGGAGCUGAGAGGCUGGUCCCCCACACGGGCACUGAGAUACGGGCCCG
rnacentral:rRNA from 1 species